rnacentral:rRNA from 1 species
UACGAAGGGUGCAAGCGUUACUCGGAAUUACUGGGCGUAAAGCGUGCGUAGGUGGUUUGUUAAGUCUGUUGUGAAAGCCCCGGGCUCAACCUGGGAAUGGCAAUGGAUACUGGCAAGCUAGAGUGCGGUAGAGGGUAGUAGAAUUCCCGGUGUAGCGGUGAAAUGCGUAGAGAUCGGAAGGAACAUCAGUGGCGAAGGCGACUGUCUGGACAGAUACUGACGCUGAGGCGCGAAAGCGUGGGGAGCAAACAGG